rnacentral:rRNA from 1 species
AGUGAACGCUGGCGGUAGGCCUAACACAUGUAAGUCGAACGGCAGCACAGUAAGAGCUUGCUCUUACGGGUGGCGAGUGGCGGACGGGUGAGGAAUACAUCGGAAUCUACUUUUUCGUGGGGGAUAACGUAGGGAAACUUACGCUAAUACCGCAUACGACCUACGGGUGAAAGCAGGGGAUCUUCGGACCUUGCGCGAUUGAAUGAGCCGAUGUCGGAUUAGCUAGUUGGCGGGGUAAAGGCCCACCAAGGCGACGAUCCGUAGCUGGUCUGAGAGGAUGAUCAGCGACACUGGAACUGAGACACGGUCCAGACUCCUACGGGGGGCAGCAGUGGGGAAUAUUGGACAAUGGGCGCAAGCCUGAUCCAGCCAUACCGCGUGGGUGAAGAAGGCCUUCGGGUUGUAAAGCCCUUUUGUUGGGAAAGAAAAGCAGCAGGUUAAUACCCCGCUGUUCUGACGGUACCCAAAGAAUAAGCACCGGCUAACUUCGUG